rfam:Ovis aries breed Texel chromosome 15, whole genome shotgun sequence.
UCCCUGGUGGUUCAGUGGCUAACACUCUGUGUUCUCAAUGCAGGAGGCCCAGGUUCGAUUCCUGGUCAGGGAA